rnacentral:rRNA from 1 species
UACAGAGGGUGCAAGCGUUGUCCGGAAUUAUUGGGCGUAAAGAGCUCGUAGGCGGACCUUCAAGUCAGGGGUGAAAUCCCGGGGCUCAACCUCGGAACUGCCUUUGAUACUGUUGGUCUUGAGUCCGGAAGAGGUGGGUGGAAUUCCUAGUGUAGAGGUGAAAUUCGUAGAUAUUAGGAAGAACACCGGUGGCGAAGGCGGCCCACUGGUCCGGUACUGACGCUGAGGUGCGAAAGCGUGGGGAGCAAACAGG